rnacentral:rRNA from 1 species
UACGGGGGGGGCAAGCGUUGUUCGGAAUUAUUGGGCGUAAAGGGCUCGUAGGCGGCCAACUAAGUCGGACGUGAAAUCCCCAGGCUCAACCUGGGAACUGCGUCCGAUACUGGAUGGCUUGAAUCCGGGAGAGGGAUGCAGAAUUCCAGGUGUAGCGGUGAAAUGCGUAGAUAUCUGGAGGAAUACCGGUGGCGAAGGCGGCAUCCUGGACCGGCAUUGACGCUGAGGAGCGAAAGCCAGGGGAGCAAACAGG